UGGCGGACGGGUGAGUAAUGUCUGGGAAACUGCCCGAUGGAGGGGGAUAACUACUGGAAACGGUAGCUAAUACCGCAUAACGUCGCAAGACCAAAGAGGGGGACCUUAGGGCCUCUUGCCAUCGGAUGUGCCCAGAUGGGAUUAGCUAGUAGGUGGGGUAAAGGCUCACCUAGGCGACGAUCCCUAGCUGGCCUGAGAGGAUGACCAGCCACACUGGAACUGAGACACGGUCCAG
rnacentral:rRNA from 1 species